UACGGGGGGGGCAAGCGUUGUUCGGAAUUACUGGGCGUAAAGGGCUCGUAGGCGGCCAACUAAGUCGGAUGUGAAAUCCCCAGGCUCAACCUGGGAACUGCAUCCGAUACUGGAUGGCUUGAAUUCGGGAGAGGGAUGCAGAAUUCCAGGUGUAGCGGUGAAAUGCGUAGAUAUCAGGAAGAACACCCGUGGCGAAGGCGGUUCUCUGGGACGGUACUGACGCUGAGACGCGAAAGCGUGGGGAGCGAACAGG
rnacentral:rRNA from 1 species